CAGCCGCCGCGGGAAUACGAAGGGUGCAAGCGUUACUCGGAAUUACUGGGCGUAAAGCGUGCGUAGGUGGUGGUUUAAGUCCGUUGUGAAAGCCCUGGGCUCAACCUGGGAAUUGCAGUGGAUACUGGGUCACUAGAGUGUGGUAGAGGAUAGUGGAAUUUCCGGUGUAGCAGUGAAAUGCGUAGAUAUAGGAAGGAACAUCAGUGGCGAAGGCGACCACCUGGACUGAUACUGACACUGAGGUGCGAAAGCGUGGGGAGCAAACAGGAUUAGAUACCCGCGUAGUCCCUGUCUCUUAUCC
rnacentral:rRNA from 1 species